CACAUUCGACUUCGACUUGUAUUGCGAAGCCCAGCGUCCUGAUUAGGAAUUCUUUUUGCUGGCUUCUGUCUGGAGGUGCCAUCCUGGAGUUUGAUUUUCAAAACCAGAGCCUUGCGGUUAUCCAGAAGCCGGCGGACGCUCAUGCUGCCGACUACUACUGGUCCUUUUACGUGGUACAGACAGAGCAUAGUAGCCUGGGCCUUGCUGUUUUGUCAUAGACAGAUUUUGUAAGCAACAUCAUCCAAUUAUGGGAGAGGAAAUCUAACUGCGAUGGUGUAGUUGGAUGGGAGCUGCAGAAAACCAUUCAACUAGACGGGCUCUUUUCACCAGGACCGACCAUGGGGCAAAAUGCGGUGAUGAUGCAAGGGUACGAUGAGGACACCAAUGCGAUUUUCUUAUCUACCUUUUUCGGCAACUACAUGCUCCAGCUUGAGACCACACAGUUCACAAAUCUUUUUAAAGCACGAAGAAAUUGCAUGUCUAGCAGGACCUUUUAUCCCUACAGAAAUUUCUACAUUACAGGUAGCAGAGUUGGUGGUCAAGAUGGUGGAGCUGAAAUGUCAAUUAAUUAGAUGAUUGUCCCAUUAGGCUUGUGCUUUGGGGAAUUCAGAUGCAAUGCAAGCUGCUUCGUGGAGCCACCUUAUUGUUCUUUUGACUGGGUGGCGGGCCACAUGCUCAAAUUAGUGACAUCUCAGAGAUGGUCACCACAGACCUGACAAUUUCAUUGUAUCUAAGCUGCAUUAGUACUGACUGUUGUUUCAUGUUUUAUUGUUUGCUCUGAAUUGUCGAGCUGGUAGACUGAAAUAUGCUGCAAGCCCUGCAGAUUAGCUAUUUAACUAGUAGGAACUCAGUGGCUGCAUGUCAGACCGCUUCAGUUCUUAUGUCAUGUCCUAGCAAGUGUGUACUGUUUCAAUGGAGUAAUGAGUGGAAC